GAAAUGCGAUAAGUAAUGUGAAUUGCAGAAUUCAGUGAAUCAUCGAAUCUUUGAACGCACAUUGCGCCCUCUGGUAUUCCGGGGGGCAUGCCUGUUCGAGCGUCAUUAUAUACCAAUCACGCAAGUGGUCUUGGGGCUUGCCGUCUGGCAUCCCUUAAAACUAGUGGCAGUGCUAUAGGCUCUCAGCGUAGUAAUUAUUCCGCUUUUGAGUCCUAGAAACACCCGCCAAAACCCCAACUUUCUUAGGUUGACCUCGGAUCAGGUAGGGAUACCCGCUGAACUUAA
rnacentral:misc_RNA from 1 species